AGGGCACCACCAGGAGUGGAGCCUGCGGCUUAAUUUGACUCAACACGGGAAAACUCCCCCGGCCCGGACACUGUAAGGAUUGACAGACUGAGAGCUCUUUCUUAAUUCAGUGGGGGGUGGUGCAUGGCCGUUCUUAGUUGGGGGAGCGAUUUGUCUGGUUAAUUCCGAUAACGAACGAGACUCUGGCCUAUUAAAUAGACGAGAUAUUACUCUGUAUCUCGCGCUUCUUAGAGGGACAAGCGGCGUCUAGUCGCAUGAAAAAGAGCAAUAACAGGUCUGUGAUGCCCUUAGAUGUCCGGGGCUGCACGCGCGCUACACUGAAAGAAUCAGUGGGCGUUUUACCUGGUUCGGAAGAACCGGGUAACCCAAGUAAUUUCUUUCGUGCUUGGGAUAGGGAAUUGCAAUUAUUUCCCUUAAACGAGGAAUUCCCAGUAAACGCGGGUCAUAAGCUCGUGUUGAUUACGUCCCUGCCCUUUGUACACACCGCCCGUCGCUACUACCGAUUGGAUGACUUAGUGA
rnacentral:rRNA from 1 species